CCCAAGAUCUCGUUUCUCCCCAAACAAAACAUAAUUCUCACUCCCCUUACCCAAAUUUUUGUCCCAAAUUCAUAGAUCUCAACAACAUCGGCUCCUCUCUCUCACUCUUAACCCUAAUCGCCCCACCUCUCCAAUAUCGUUUCAUCACCAAUCUCCUUCCUCUACACAACUGCUAUGGACGAAGAUGAGCAAGAGGAACCGUAAUGGUGAUGAUUGUCGACGGUGGUUUAUCAAUGAUGAUUCUCGAAUCGUCUUCCAAAGUUAUUCUUGAAGGUUUGUUCGUGUAUGAUAAGUGUCACAUAUGUCUUUGGUUUCUGCCCAUAGUGAUGCGUGGCUAUUUUAUGUCGGAUUUUAAUUUGGUGCCAAAGUUGUUUCUUAACGCCAAACAAUCUUUGAGGAACGGCACUGCGGGAACGAAGCACUUGGAGCCUUGGGGAACUUUAGCAAAACUAGGGCUUUCAAUUGGUGGUGGAACGCUGAACGCUAGAGUCUCAUGGAGGAAUGCAACGUCGGCCAUGGAAAAGAUGAAUCAACCAAGGGCUUUGGAAACCAACUAAGAUAAAACACUGGUUUGAUUAUAUAUAUUGAGGUUGUGAUUUAUUUUAUAGAAUUAGUCAUAAAUACGGUGCAGUUGUAUAUGUUUUAUAUGGCAUGCAUGUUUUCUCUAGUCUUUCAUGUAAGUUGAUUUUGCUAUUUGUGGGUUAGAAUUAGAAUCAGGGGCGUAGCUACAUAGAAGGGUACGGGAUUGGCCGAACCCGUACCAUAAAUUUUGUUAGUGUUAUAUAUAGGUGUAUUUUGACAUCGCGCCUGUAGAAAUUUCGCCAUCAAACCCGUAGAAUCCUUUAAGUCUGGAAAAUUUCCGAACCCGUAGGAAAUUUUUUUUUUGACUACGCCCAUGAUUAGAAUCACUACUUAUUUCUUUUCAUUGUUCUAUUAAAUUUGUUCUUAAAUUUUCCAGUUUCUAUCACUAUUAAUAGCAUAAUUUUUUUUGUAGGAAAGAAAGUAUUGUUCGUUGCUUGGGGUUUGGAUACUUAUUAAAAAAAUCAUAUGCAUGAGAGGUUAAAUCCAGAUGGUGACAAACCUUCUGCUACAAUGUAUGCAGGUAUGCAACAGCUAGUGGACGCUCGGAUGGUCUGUUUUUACGAUGUGGUGGAAGAGACGCCUCUGGCACGAUAUGAAGUUAUGCUCUAAGAUAUCAACUACUUGCUUUAACUACUAAUAAGCGGUACUGAAAAAGCCACACAAUCUUUGGUUGAAUAGCUUAAACCGACGUUAAAAGAGGUUGAAUACAAUGAGUUGGUUGAUGUCGCACUAGUAAGUGCAGGAAGAAAUAUGAUGUGGGAAUAUGAUUGCUAAGAGAGAAUUAACAUGGGGAUCAUUACACAUAAAGAUUGCAAAAGAGGUUCAUGAAGGCAAUGAAGUCUUGAGUUUUUAUUAUAACAUUUGUUAGUUUUAUUCAAACAUUAGAGUUAGUUUGCUACUUUUUAGACAUUAGUUUGUAAACGUAUGAAUGUUUAGAAGAUGAUCUAACUUUUAUUUGAA